GAUGAACGCUGGCGGCGUGCCUAAUACAUGCAAGUCGAGCGAACAGACGAGGAGCUUGCUCCUCUGACGUUAGCGGCGGACGGGUGAGUAACACGUGGAUAACCUACCUAUAAGACUGGGAUAACUUCGGGAAACCGGAGCUAAUACCGGAUAACAUGUUGAACCGCAUGGUUCAACAGUGAAAGACGGUCUUGCUGUCACUUAUAGAUGGAUCCGCGCCGCAUUAGCUAGUUGGUACGGUAACGGCUUACCAAGGCAACGAUGCGUAGCCGACCUGAGAGGGUGAUCGGCCACACUGGAACUGAGACACGGUCCAGACUCCUACGGGAGGCAGCAGUAGGGAAUCGUACGCAAUGGGCGAAAGCCUGACGGAGCAACGCCGCGUGAGUGAAGAAGGUCUUCGGAUCGUAAAACUCUGUUAUUAGGGAAGAACAUAUGUGUAAGUAACUAUGCACGUCUUGACGGUACCUAAUCAGAAAGCCACGGCUAACUACGUG
rnacentral:rRNA from 1 species